UUAUCCUUUAGGUUAAACUUUAUCACAUGAAAUGAAUUAUUAAAGCUGAUCAGAUUCUAGAACACACUGCAGGGUUCCAUUGUUCAUACAGUCACUGAGUAUAUAUAAAGAAAUACCCAGAGCUGCUGGAGGAAGGAGGGGGUGAAUUCCGAGGAAGAGGUCUCAGGUUCCCUAUGUUGAUUAAAUUUUGAUCAGAAAAAGUAUUCAGAUCGAUACAUAAUCAGAAUUCUUCCAGUUUGUGCAUUGGGAGACUGUCAGGGCCCAGUGAGAAAUUUGUGAGACUGAGGGUCUGCUGAGAAAUUUGGGAGACUGAGGGUCUGGUGAAAAAUUUAGAAGACUGAGGAUCCGAAAAGUGAACUGGAGAUGGAAAAUGAAGAAGAUCCCAUUAUGGGUGGACAUGCAGGCUAAUUAAAUUUCUCCUGAUUAACCCAGAAUCAAUCAUUGCAUCUCUGUAGGGAUAAUAGAUGGAAAGAGAGAGAUCUUCACCACAAGUGCACAUGGUUACCCCAUUGUUCAUAAUUGCUCUGUCACGUCCAAUUACGAGGAGAGAAUCUGAGGACUCCUGUACGACACCAGAAAAAUUCCUAAUAUUGUGUCAUAUUCUCAGAUGUAGACCUGAAUAUAAAAACUCACCUCAUGGGCUCUGCCAAUAACAUGGGAUGAUAACAGGAUGACAACAUAGGAUGGAGGUUAUGCCAGGAUUUUGUUUUAUAGCUUUACUUAUGAUAAACUAGAACCAGUGAAUCCAUACAGUAAAACAUUCUUAUAACAAACUUCAUCAUAAUGAAUUCAUGCUUAUUGUGAAGUGAAAUCAAUUUAUUCUAUAUAACAAAGGUUGCAUGGUUAUAAUGAUUCAGAACUAUAAUUUUCUCUUGCUGUUGAGAUUCGCUAUCAUGAACUGCAUGUAUUUUACUUUAUAACAAAAUUUGUUUGAAAAUUUU